rnacentral:rRNA from 1 species
CAGUCGCCACGGUAAUGCGUAGGGUGCAAGCGUUAAUCGGAAUUACUGGGCGUAAAGCGUGCGCAGGCGGUUAUAUAAGUCAGAUGUGAAAUCCCCGGGCUCAACCUGGGAACUGCAGUUGAGACUGUAUGGCUAGAGUAUGGCAGAGGGGGGUGGAAUUCCACGUGUAGCAGUGAAAUGCGUAGAGAUGUGGAGGAACACCGAUGGCGAAGGCAGCCCCCUGGGCCAAUACUGACGCUCAUGCACGAAAGCGUGGGGAACAAACAGGAUUAGAUACCCGAGUAGUCCCUGUCUCUUAUAC